CAAUAGCGUAUAUUAAUGUUGUUGCAGUUAAAAAGCUCGUAGUUGGAUUUCGAAUGGGAGCGGUGGGUCGGGUCCGCAAGGGCUCGUUACCUGUUUCGUCUCCGGUUCUUUUUCGGAAUUGUUUCUGGCGUGGCUGGUAUUGAGUUGUCGGUGGCGUCGGGCCCGUCGUUUACUGUGAACAAAUUAGAGUGUUCAAAGCAAGGUGUGUCUUGAAUACAUUAGCAUGGAAUAAUGAGAUAGGACUUUGGUGGUUUCGGUGAAAGCCGGAUAUUUUGUUGGUUUGCACGCCAAAGUAAUGAUUAAUAGGAGCAGUUGGGGGUAUUCGUAUUCAAUUGUCAGAGGUGAAAUUCUUGGAUUUCUAGAAGACGAACUACUGCGAAAGCAUUUACCAGGGAUGUUUUCAUUAA
rnacentral:rRNA from 1 species